GACGAACGCUGGCGGCGUGCUUAACACAUGCAAGUCGAACGGAAAGGCCCUGCUUUUGUGGGGUGCUCGAGUGGCGAACGGGUGAGUAACACGUGAGUAACCUGCCCUUGACUUUGGGAUAACUUCAGGAAACUGGGGCUAAUACCGGAUAGGAGCUCCUGCUGCAUGGUGGGGGUUGGAAAGUUUCGGCGGUUGGGGAUGGACUCGCGGCUUAUCAGCUUGUUGGUGGGGUAGUGGCUUACCAAGGCUUUGACGGGUAGCCGGCCUGAGAGGGUGACCGGCCACAUUGGGACUGAGAGACGGCCCAGACGCCUACGGGAGGCAGCAGUGGGGAAUAUUGCACAAUGGGCGGAAGCCUGAGGCAGCAACGCCGCGUGCGGGAUGACGGCCUUCGGGUUGUAAACCGCUUUCGCCUGUGACGAAGCGUGAGUGACGGUAAUGGGUAAAGAAGCACCGGCUAACUACGUG
rnacentral:rRNA from 1 species